rnacentral:lncRNA from 1 species
GCUUUUGAUGAUGGUAGAGAGGAAGAUGUUGUUGAGCUCGACUUUGAAUUCAGAGACAUCACAAUUUUUUUGAAUAGUGUUCCACUGAAUCCCCAAGUCAAUUAAGCCAUUAGAGCAGCUCAUGCUCAUGGAUGUGAUUGAAGGUACUUGGUGAUGCGAAUAAGUUUUUCAUUGAAACAAUCCCAAAAAGUUGUCAAACAUAUGGAUAGCCAGAUGUCAAAAAACAAAGAAACUGGACAAGGGAUGUUCGAGAAUUAAAUUCUGAACAGCCUCACGAGCGUUAAAUUUAGAAAAGGAGAAUAAUUCUUGGUUUGGUUGUUCAUGCAGACUGAUUGAACCCAAAGACAUGUAAUGAAUGAACUCAUUCGACACACAUGAAGAUACAUAAAAGGAACCCACCAGGACAUGGUGACUUUUUCCCAUCUUUGAUGAACAGUGGGAAACUUGAAGCACUUUUGUCUCAGGUUUGACAUUGAUAUAUUCAUGUUGGUUUGGUCGGGUCCAGUUUUGAUCGGGUAUAGGUGGAACAGGAUCCGGUGAUUCUAGGUCAGGUCUGGUUCGGUUA